AGAAACUAAAAACAAAAAACUACGUCUAAAACCAGUAAACAAAUUGCUUUAUAUAGUGUAGCUCACUAUAAUAUAGGUAGACAUCUUUCAAGGUGAGUUUUGGAUCAGCACACAUACAACCAGGUGAAUUUUGGAUCACCCUAGCACAUAUUGAAGUUAAACGUUUGAGUAAUCUGUUGCCCUAAUCUGGUCGAAGAGCACACCUACAACUAGGUGAGUUUUGGAUCACUCUAGCACAUAUUCAAGUUAAAUGUUUGAGUAAUCUAUUGUCCUAAUCUUGUUGAGGAGCAUUUUUUUUUAUUUAGAGAUAUUCUUUUCCAUUUGUAUGAGUACUCCGCCGCCCUGGUUGAAGCCACACUUUUCUUUCUUCAUUCUUCUUUUAGAAGAGCGAAACCAGCCAAACCAUAGGUAGAACUUUUAACCCUUCAGGUCCAUCAGCUAAACAAUAAUUCCAAUCUUUAACCCCUCAUGUAUACAAGUCAAACCAUAAGUCCAAGCCUAACAAUAAUUUCAAUCUUUUAAUUCCUUCAUAUACAGAAGCCAAACCAUAAGUCCAGGUUUGACAAAUACGUUAUGUUGUUGAUGCUAACCAUAUUCAACCCUUCACUGUCCCCAUGGAAAAAACUCCACUAAUUCACCUGUAACACAAAGGAAAAACUCCACUAAAACUCUAUUAAUUCAGCUGAAAACAUAUUAGCCCAACUAAUUCAGCCGAAAACAUAUUUUUCUCCGAGAUAUAUUAGGUAGAGUUUACCAAAAACAAUAAAUGCCUUGAUGUAGGAACCUUCUCAAUCAAUGCAUUGCAGUACAUGACCAACAUAAUCAAUAAAAAUUUCGAAAACAACAUUUUUGAAAAGCUUACAAUGGUUAAUUACCACUUAUGACGGGGAAGCAAUUAGCAUGACUAACAAAAACUAACAUGUCAAAUAGAUAAAAAAAACUCCAAAGAAUCAAACAUUUCAGACAAAAGAAAUUGAACCAAACAAACACGAAGUACCAACAAUAUGUGUAUCAAAAAAAGUAUAGUAAUAGCCAAUAAAGUAGUCAUCAAUUGUUACUAGUAUCCUCACGGAAAUUCAAGAACUACUAUGUAAAUUUACAGGCACGUGUCAUUAAAACAAAGGUUGAGGGUUUAUUAGCAGCACGGGCAACUCAGUCUAGACUUGACCAACCCAACUCGAAAUUCUAUCGGUCUUUUUUAAACCGGUCCGGGCUUGGCUGGAAGCCCAAAAAAUUCAGCUUGAAAUCAGCCUGAAUUCUAAGACCGGCCCCAAGGCCUGCACCCAGCCCAGAUCGCAAUCCUAAAUAUUAUAGUACUAAUUGAUUUAGAUAUAUGUGUUUAUCAUUGAUUUCACAUUCACGAUUAUUUCUUUGUCGCUAGGUAUUUUACGAUAGGCAUCUAAUCAAACCAAAAUAUAAUCGCCAUAUUUAAUAAUCUAAAACAAAUUAAUAAUAAUCUAAUUCAAAACAAACAUGCAUUAACGAUGUCAUGUUUCCUACCUUGCUUAUAUCAAGAAUAACUCAAAUUAUUUCUUUUAUCAAGAUUAUCGGAAGGAGAAGACUAAGUAGGAUUUGUUUGUAAAAAUCACUAAACAUAAUAGCUUGUUGUUGAAGAAAAUCACCAGAAUUAGCUAGAAAUCGGGUUUGAGUUAAGACAGCUACUGGGUUUUCAUAACACUACAUCUCAAAUUCCAUUCUUAUGUGACCUUUAAAAAAAAGAUCACGACAUGUUGGGUAUCUUUUUGGAGCUAGUAGAUGGAGGUAAGAACAUAUCUUCUUGAAAAACUUGGAGCUAGUAGAUAGAGGUACAAAUAUCUUCAUAGUAGAUGCAAUAAGACAGAGGCAAGUUACUUUCUCCCAUUUUACUACAUAUACAAAUGUUUGGGGAAUAUACUAGGUUUCGGGAAUACCUAUUCAAUACUUUAUCACAUCUUAUAUAGGAUGAGGUUUCUAUAGGACCUAGGUUUUAUGAAAACAAAACAAAACCUCACCUCAAAUCUUAGUCUGGAGAGUACUUUUAGCGAUGGAAAUAUUUAUGAUGACUCUAAAAUCAAUUUCCGACACCAACAAUAAAACUUGAAACUUAAAAAAAUAGUACAGAUCUUACGGAUCUGUGAACACUUAUCUUUAAAGCAAAAUGGACGGUCUACAUAACUUGUUACCAUAUACACUAUUUUUAGAGCUUGAAAUCCUAUGUUUUUCCACAACCAUAAUGUUCAAGUCGAGAUGAUCGAUGUAAAGGUUUUCCAAUGCUUGAGUUGCAAUUUUCAAUGAGUUAUAAAGUGGGGAUUUACUUGUUUUGAUAGGGCUGUGACCCUAUCAAUCUGUUUUCUUUUUAUAUAUAUACAAUACUUUAUCCCAUUUUACAUAUAUACUUCAACAGAUGGAGGUACAAAUAUCUUCAUGAAACUAGUAGAUGUAGUGAGAUAGAGUUAGGGAAGCGGUAUGUUUAUGGAAUACCUCUUAAAUACUUUAUCCCAUUCCACAUAUAUUUAACGUGAUACCUUAGCUUAGAGGGAGGAGGUCAUCUUAUUCAUGUAGUUCAAUAUAAUGUUUUAGAUUGAGACAGAGGAUACAUGUAUGGAACUACUUUGAGAUAGAGGAUACAUGUAUAGAACUAUGUUUCUUUUGGGGUAAUUCAGCAUAAUACUUAAACUUUGAGAUAGAGGAUAUACAUGUAUGGAACUAUGUUUCAGGGAAGGGUAUAUUUAUGGAAUGAAAAAUUGUUUCAUGUGGGCUAAACCACAUUUCUACCUACACAGUUCCAAAGUAUAAAGCAUCCAUCUUAAAUAUGGAUACAAAUAUAUGGUCCAGCUAAAAACUAUUGAAACUAAUGGUCCAAAUGUUUUCUUAAUAGAAUUAUUAUUUUAAAUUUUUAAAAUUUAUUUAUUUAUUCAUAUUCAUGAUCUCCAUGCUAGAGAUUACAAGUCCUUAAAAUAUUAAGUCCAAAAAUCUAUCUCAAAAAUAGAUUUUUAAGAGGUGACUCAUUUCUACGUGGACUCAUAGAUAUCGUGUCCUUAUGGAAUGCCUCUUGAAUACUUUAUCUUAUACAUACAUGGAACCUUUUUCUCUCUUUUUUUGGGGAGUUAAGUGAUAAGAAUUCAACUUGAGAGGUAGACGUCAAUGUUAACCACUCAAGCCCAAGCCCAAUUCCUACAUGUUUCUACAUUGAAAAAGACAAUAUAUAACCAAAAUCUCCACACCUUUCAUAUCCUUUAUUAAAAUCUCCACACCUUUCAUAUCCUUUACUUUUUUAAUAAUAAAACUCAGUAAUUGAGAAAGAAACAAGUAUUUUAUAAUAUGUAAAAUAAUAAAUGAAUAAAUUAAAAGAAAUUCUUAUAAUUUGUGCUCUAUUACUUAGUAAACUCUCAUGCUUUUAUCGAAUCUCCAACGAACCAAUGCUAGGUCGAUAAUUUAUAAUACCUAAUUUACAAGGAUGGAAAUAUUAGUUACCAUAGAGCAUUUAAUAAGUAUUUUUCUUCUUCAUUUGUUCGAUCCUUAAAUUGUACUUGUCAGAUGCACAUGCUUAUAUAAAUGCAUUGGGCAUUGCAAGAAACUACAAUAUUUAUUUCAUCUUAAAAUGCAAAAAAUUACUUCUAGAUAGAACAUGAGCCUAAACCAAUCCUUUAGAAAAUUUCCUCUACUUUCAUCACAAUAAAACAUGACUUUUAAAAAGCAUAUUUAAGAAAAUGAAAAAGAGAUCCAACUAUCACAAAUAAUGUAAUGCAAAUUCUAAGAAAAAUAAUUAGUAAUCAAUAAGAAGUUAUGCAGCAUAAUCAUUAAAACAAAAAGAAAACUACAAGAUCGUAAUAAAAAAUUAGUAAAAAAAUACUCAAACAAUAUACCUCUUCAAUUACCUCCAAUGCCCUAAUAUAUUUGUAUGUAUUAACCAACUUUUUAGUUUACUAACCAAACUUACUCGAAGUUUUCUAGUUUGUAGAAGUUAUUUAGAGAAAGAGAAUUGUAAGGUGUUUAUAACAUAAAAAGGAGGUCAUUUCAACUUCUU
rnacentral:lncRNA from 1 species